GGCGGGCGGUGCUAAUACUGCAAGUCGAGCGAACCAAUGGGAGCUUGCUCCCUGAGAUUAGCGGCGGACGGGUGAGUAACACGUGGGUAACCUGCCUGUAAGAUUGGGAUAACUCCGGGAAACCGGAGCUAAUACCGGAUAACAUUUUGAACCGCAUGGUUCAAAAUUGAAAGACGGCUUUUAGCUGUCACUUACAGAUGGACCCGCGGCGCAUUAGCUAGUUGGGGAGGUAACGGUUCACCAAGGCAACGAUGCGUAGCCGACCUGAAAGGGGGAUCGGCCACACUGGAACUGAGACACGGCCCAAACUCCUACGGAAGGCAGCAGUAGGGAAUCUUCCGCAAUGAACGAAAGUCUGACGAAGCAACGCCGCGUGAACGAUGAAGGCCUUCGGGUCGUAAAGUUCUGUUGUUAGGGAAGAACAAGUACCAAAGUAACUGCUGGUACCUUGACGGUACCUAACCAGAAAGCCACGGUUAACUACGUGCCAGCAGCCGCGGUAAUACGUAGGUGGCAAGCGUUGUCCGGAAUUAUUGGGCGUAAAGCGCUCGCAGGCGGUUUCUUAAGUCUGAUGUGAAAGCCCACGGCUCAACCGUGGAGGGUCAUUGGAAACUGGGGAACUUGAGUGCAGAAGAGGAGAGUGGAAUUCCACGUGUAGCGGUGAAAUGCGUAGAGAUGUGGAGGAACACCAGUGGCGAAGGCGACUCUCUGGUCUGUAACUGACGCUGAGGCGCGAAAGCGUGGGGAGCGAACAGGAUUAGAUACCCUGGUAGUCCACGCCGUAAACGAUGAGUGCUAAGUGUUAGAGGGUUUCCGCCCUUUAGUGCUGCAGCAAACGCAUUAAGCACUCCGCCUGGGGAGUACGGUCGCAAGACUGAAACUCAAAGGAAUUGACGGGGGCCCGCACAAG
rnacentral:rRNA from 1 species